rnacentral:rRNA from 1 species
CCUACGGGUGGCAGCAGUGAGGAAUAUUGGUCAAUGGACGAGAGUCUGAACCAGCCAAGUAGCGUGAAGGAUGACUGCCCUAUGGGUUGUAAACUUCUUUUAUAUGGGAAUAAAAUGUUCCACGUGUGGGAUUUUGUAUGUACCAGAUGAAUAAGGAUAGGCUAACUCAGUGCCAGCAGCCGCGGUAAUACGGAGGAUCCGAGCGUUAUCCGGAUUUAUUGGGUUUAAAGGGAGCGUAGGUGGAUUGUUAAGUCAGUUGUGAAAGUUUGCGGCUCAACCGUAAAAUUGCAGUUGAAACUGGCAGUCUUGAGUACAGUAGAGGUGGGCGGAAUUCGUGGUGUAGCGGUGAAAUGCUUAGAUAUCACGAAGAACUCCGAUUGCGAAGGCAGUUCACUGGACUGCAACUGACACUGAGGCUCGAAAGUGUGGGUAUCAAACAGGAUUAGAUACCCGGGUAGUC